UUGACCUCGGAUCAGGUAGGGAUACCCGCUGAACUUAAGCAUAUCAAAAGGCGGGAGGAAGA
rnacentral:rRNA from 1 species